CUUCAAAAAAGCAUCAACAUGAAAUGGAAACAAUCAAACAAUGAUUUAUUGCAUGAUAUGAACAAACAGAACAUCUAACACGCAAUUCAAACAAAAACACGCACAAAUCACGGUGAUCAACAUUGAAUCAACUCAGAACACAAUCUUAUUCCACAGUGAAUUAAAACGAGUGGCAGGAGAUUCUUCCAAAUAUAUGUUAGCUUUAUUUUCGAGGCACAUAGUCCAUGUAGUCGCUAACAGACCAGGAUCUGCAGAGAGGAAUAUUUUUUAGUCAGAUUUCCUCGUCUCUUGCAGCAAAUACAGCAAAUAGCAGGGUAAUUACGAGGGAGGAUGAUAAGAAUGAAGAUUAUCAAAAUUAUACACAACUAGAACUUACUGUUUGAUAGGUACUCCAGUAGUUACUAUUUAAUUGCUUCUUCGUCAUCCAUGUCUUUGAAAACUGACGGAUCUUCUCCCUUCAUAGGUGUUUCACCAGCAUACACCCACCCACGUUGUCUAAAGGCCGAUCUACUACUCCAAUUAUACACGGAAGUAAUACAAUUUGCACACAGAAUAGCAGUGCCAUGGGUUUCAUCAUGGGUUUCAUCCAUGUGGUAAUUGUUUGCAACGUGCUUCUUAAUAUUUGGAAAUCACCGUUUUGUGGAAUUCAAUGUGGAAUCACCGUACUCGUUUUAAUUCAGUGUGGAAUAAGAUUGUGUUCUGAGUUGAUUCAAUGUUGAUCACCGUGAUGUGUGCGUGUGUUUGUUUG
rnacentral:lncRNA from 1 species